UGGGGAAUAUUGCACAAUGGGCGCAAGCCUGAUGCAGCCAUGCCGCGUGUGUGAAGAAGGCCCUAGGGUUGUAAAGCACUUUCAGCAGUGAGGAAAGGUGCGUAGUUAAUACCUGCGUACUGUGACGUUAACUGCAGAAGAAGCACCGGCUAACUCCGUGCCAGCAGCCGCGGUAAUACGGAGGGUGCAAGCGUUAAUCGGAAUUACUGGGCGUAAAGCGCGCGUAGGUGGAUUGGUCAGUCAGAUGUGAAAGCCCAGGGCUCAACCUUGGAACUGCACCUGAUACUGCCAAUCUAGAAUACGGUAGAGGGUAGUGGAAUUUCCUGUGUAGCGGUGAAAUGCGUAGAUAU
rnacentral:rRNA from 1 species